UCAAUAAGCGGAGGAAAAGAAACUAACAAGGAUUCCCCCAGUAACGGCGAGUGAAGCGGGAAGAGCUCAAGCUUAAAAUCUCCAUGUUUUACAUGGCGAAUUGUAGUCUAUUGAGGCUGUUGUCAGCAUAGCGAUUUGGGAUAAGUCCCUUGGAAAAGGGCAGCACAGAGGGUGAUACUCCCGUCUUUGCUCAGAUUGUCUAUGUGUACGAUACGCUUUCUUUGAGUCGAGUUGUUUGGGAAUACAGCUCAAAGUAGGUGGUAAAUUCCAUCUAAAGCUAAAUAUUGGUGCGAGACCGAUAGCGAACAAGUACCGUGAGGGAAAGAUGAAAAGAACUUUGAAAAGAGAGUUAAAGAGUACCUGAAACUGUUGAAAGGGAACCGUAACAUGUCCAGUGUUGUAUCUUGUGCAUAUUUCAUUAGUGGAGCAAUUUACUGGUGCCCUGUGCAUGAGUGUGACGUCAAAGUCAGUUUGUAUGCUGCGGGAGAUGGUUAGCAAGGAGGUGCGUCACUUUGUGUCAGUUAUACCUUGUUAUCUAGUAGCCGUGGUUGAGACUGAGGUGCCUACAACAUGCUUAUAGAGUAUAUUGUUGUCUCGUUAUUAUACCUGUUUGGAUAGCUUGCUAUGCUGAUGGUCUAUAGUGGCGAUUGAUGAUGGUAUUAACUUUUUGCUGUUCGGGACUUUGACGAAAUGGAAUGU
rnacentral:rRNA from 1 species